UACGUAGGAUGCGAGCGUUGUUCGGAUUUAUUGGGCGUAAAGCGUGCGUAGGCGGUUACACAAGUCUGGUGUUAAAGCUAGGGGCUCAACCCCUGUGAUGCACUGGAAACUAUGUGACUUGAGUGCGGUAGGGGAAGGUGGAAUUCCGAGUGUAGCAGUGAAAUGCGUAGAUAUUCGGAAGAACACCGGUGGCGAAGGCGACCUUCUGGGCCGCAACUGACGCUGAGGCACGAAAGCCUGGGGAGCGAACGGG
rnacentral:rRNA from 1 species